rnacentral:rRNA from 1 species
UAGGGAAUCUUCCACAAUGGACGCAAGUCUGAUGGAGCAACGCCGCGUGAGUGAAGAAGGCUUUCGGGUCGUAAAACUCUGUUAUUGAAGAAGAACGUGCGUGACAGUAACUGGUCAUGCAGUGACGGUAUUCAAUCAGAAAGUCACGGCUAACUACGUGCCAGCAGCCGCGGUAAUACGUAGGUGGCAAGCGUUGUCCGGAUUUAUUGGGCGUAAAUGCGAGUGCAGGCGGUCUUUUAAGUCUGAUG